UCAGGCCUAACACAUGCAAGUCGAGCGAGGACUUCGGUCCUAGCGGCGGACGGGUGAGUAACGCGUGGGAACGUGCCCUUUGCUUCGGAAUAGCCCCGGGAAACUGGGAGUAAUACCGGAUGAGCCCUACGGGGGAAAGAUUUAUCGGCGAAGGGUCGGCCCGCGUUGGAUUAGGUAGUUGGUGGGGUAAUGGCCUACCAAGCCGACGAUCCAUAGCUGGUUUGAGAGGAUGAUCAGCCACACUGGGACUGAGACACGGCCCAGACUCCUACGGGAGGCAGCAGUGGGGAAUCUUAGAAAGUGGGGGAAACCCUGAUCUAGCCAUGCCGCGUGAUUGAAGGGGGCCUUAGGGUUGUAAAGCUCUUCAGCUGGGAAGAUAAUG
rnacentral:rRNA from 1 species